GCCCCAUCUCUAAUGCAGAGAACACCUCUGCGGCUGCUUCUGAUUCGAAACGCCUCUCUGCCUUCAGCCUCACCUUUUACCAUGGAAGAUGGAUGAGGAGGCAAAAAGCCUACCCCUUGCGUCUCCUUCUUAUUCGGGAGGUUGCUGCUCUCACCUUCAGGUACAAUCUUAUAAGGUGUUGCUAUAAUUUCAUAUAGAGAUUGAGGUGGUUCACCUUUUACCGGUGGGGUAUUAACUCCUUUGAGUAUAAUACUUUUGACAGGAGGAUGGAUACUAGAGGUAUUCAUCCAUAUUUAUAUCAUCUUCUACUUGUAAGGUAAGUAUUUGAAAUUCAGCUAUGUCGGGUUCAGAUGUAUACGUGGGAAUGACUAUGUGGUCAGCUGUUCGUUUGACUCCUUGUAAUUGGAAGUCUAAAGAUGUUGUAGGUAUUGAUGGAGAAGGAAGUAUUAUAACAUCUUGAGUGGUAUGACAAGAUUUUCUAGCGGGUACUUCCCUGGGCUGGUUUGCAUUUUGUAAUGCCCAUGAUUGAGCGAUAAUAGGGCAUUUGAGCUCAUCUGAUCAUUUUAAUUGAAUGGAUCUCGACAACCAAUUCCCUCCAAGGAUGUGUAAACGCAAACCAGGAUGUGGUCGAAUGUGUGUGCUUAUAGCAAAGACACAUGAUAACUACGAUAGGCAUUUCUAUAAAUGCUCUAACUAGAAGGUAUGUAAUAUUCUUUCAUUAAGAUAAUGUAAAAGCGUAUUGGUUUUCCAUUAUACGCAUAUAUUUAACACACACUUAUCUUAUCAUAUUAACCACUAGAAUGAGACUGGAUGCGGCUAUCUAGAGUGGUGUGAUGAGAUUCUAGAUGAAGAUAGGAAGCCUGUGGUUAAAAGGUUUGCACAAAUCUGAUGUUGUGGUCACUGAGAAAGUAGACGUUCAAAAAAUUUAUCUCAUAUGUCUAAUUGUAUUUAUGACUUUGAUGUUUGCCCUCUUUUUUUUUG